rnacentral:rRNA from 1 species
UACGGGGGGGGCAAGCGUUGUCCGGAAUCAUUGGGCGUAAAGCGCGCGUAGGCGGCCCGGUAAGUCCGCUGUGAAAGUCAAAGGCUCAACCUUUGAAUGCCGGUGGAUACUGUCGGGCUAGAGUCCGGAAGAGGCGAGUGGAAUUCCUGGUGUAGCGGUGGAAUGCGCAGAUAUCAGGAGGAACACCAAUAGCGAAGGCAGCUCGCUGGGACGGUACUGACGCUAAGGCGCGAAAGCGUGGGGAGCGAACAGG